UCAGGUGCCAGUUAGAUGUAUAAUGAAUAAACAAAUUCCUGUUUAUUUACCUAAUUAUUAGGUUGUGGACAUUUGCUGGACGGUUAAAAAAUGAAAUUUUGUCCAAUGUCUUAUUUUUAAAAAUAAAUGCCCACAAAUCAAAGGUUAAGAUUGUUCAACUAAUUUGAGUUUUAGUUGGAAGUUAGAGGAACUGUUCCAUGAUUUUAAUUUGAGUUGAUGUGUGCCACAUACACCAUUUGUAUGUGCUUGUGCAUCAUGUGCCAGUAGCCAAAAUAUCAAACAAUUCCCCUUUCAAAUUGAUGUAGAGAAGGCUGCGGAUGCAUUAUUUGCAUAACUGGAUU